AUUGAACGCUAGCGGGAUGCCUUACACAUGCAAGUCGAACGGAGUGGCGAACGGGUGAGUAAUGUAUCGGAACGUGCCCAGUAGCGGGGGAUAACGACGCGAAAGCGGAGAUAAUACCGCAUACUAUUGGAGCGGCCGAUAUCGGUCUAGCAAGUUGGUGGGGUAACGGCUCACCAAGGCGACGAGCCGUAGCUGGUUCGAGAGGACGACCAGCCACACUGGGACUGAGAACCGGCCCAGACUCCUACGGUAGGCAGCCAUGGGGAAUUUUGGACAAUGGGGGAAGCCCUGAUCCAGCCCGCCCGCGUGUGCGAUGAAGGCCUUCUGGUUGUAAAGCACUUUUGGCAGGAAAGCGGUACCUGCAGAAUAAGCACCGGCUAAAUACGUGCCAGCAGCCGCGGUAAUAC
rnacentral:rRNA from 1 species